rnacentral:rRNA from 1 species
AACGAACGCUGGCGGCAUGCCUAACACAUGCAAGUCGAACGAGAACUUCGGGCCUAGUGGCGCACGGGUGGGUAACGCGUGGGAACCUGCCCUUAGGUUCGGAAUAACUCCCCGAAAGGGGUGCUAAUACCGGUUAAUGUCAUCGCAGCAAAGAUUUAUUGCUUUUGGAUGGGCGCGGGUUGGCUUAGGCAGUUGGUAGGGUAAAAGCAUCGCAUCGCGUCGAUCCAUGGCUGGUCUGAGAGGAGGAUCAGUCAGAAUGGGACUGAGACACGGCCCAGCCUGCGACGGGAGGCAGCAGAGGGGAAUAUUGGACAAGGAGGGAAAGCCUGGUCCAGCAAUGCCGCGGGAGUGAGGAAGGCCUUAGGGUUGUAAAGCUCUUUUACCCGGGAUGAUAAUGACAGUACCGGGAAAAUAAGCACCGGCUAACUACGUG